rnacentral:rRNA from 1 species
GACAGAGGUGCCAAGCGUUAGGCGGAAUCACUGGGCUUAAAGCGUGUGUAGGCGGAUGUCUAAGUACCUUGUGAAAUCCCACGGCUCAACCGUGGAACUGCUUGGUAUACUGGAUGUCUUGAGCCAUCUAGGGGCUACCGGAACAAAUGGUGGAGCGGUGAAAUGCGUAGAUAUCAUUUGGAACGCCAAUGGUGAAAACAGGUAGCUGGGGAUGUGCUGACGCUGAGACACGAAAGCCAGGGGAGCGAACGGGG